rnacentral:rRNA from 1 species
GCACAAGCGAUGGAUGAUGUGGAUUAAUUCGAUGCAACGCGAAAACCUUACCUACCCUUGACAUGUCUGGAACCUUGGUGAGAGCCGAGGUGCCUUCGGGAGCCAGAACACAGGUGCUGCAUGGCUGUCGUCAGCUCGUGUCGUGAGAUGUUGGGUUAAGUCCCGCAACGAGCGCAACCCUUGUCACUAGUUGCCAUCAUUUAGUUGGGCACUCUAGUGAGACUGCCGGUGGCAAACCGGAGGAAGGUGGGGAUGACGUCAAGUCCUCAUGGCCCUUAUGGGUAGGGCUUCACACGUCAUACAAUGGUCGGUACAGAGGGUUGCCAAGCCGCGAGGUGGAGCCAAUCCCUUAAAGCCGAUCGUAGUCCGGAUCGUAGUCUGCAACUCGACUACGUGAAGUCGGAAUCGCUAGUGAUCGCAGAUCAGCAUGCUGCGGUGAAUACGUUCCCGGGUCUU